GAUGAACGCUGGCGGCGUGCCUAAUACAUGCAAGUCGAGCGAACAGAUGAGGAUCUUGCUCCUCUGACGUUAGCGGCGGGCGGGUGAGUAACACGUGGAUAACCUACCUAUCAGACUGGGAUCACUUCGGGAAACCGGAGCUAAUCCCGGAUAAUCUAUUGAACCGCAUGGUUCAAUAGUGAAAGACGGCUUUGCUGUCACUUCUAGAUGGAUCCCCGCCGCAUUAGCUAGUUGGUAAGGUAACGGCUUACCAAGGCAACCAUGCGUAGGCGACCGGAGAGGGUGAUCGGCGACACGGGAGCGGGGACGCGGGCCAGGCUCCUGCGGGAGGCAGCAGUAGGGAAUCGGCCGCAAUGGGCGAAAGCCUGACGGAGCGACGCCGCGUGAGUGAUGAAGGUCUUCGGAUCGGAAAACUCUGUUAUUAGGGAAGAACAAAUGUGUAAGUAACUAUGCACGUCUUGACGGUACCUAAUCAGAAAGCCACGGCUAACUACGUG
rnacentral:rRNA from 1 species